UAGGAGAGCUGUCUUUGUCGGU
rnacentral:miRNA from 1 species